UAUUAGGUUGGUGCAAAAGUAAUUGCGGUUUUUGCCAUUAUUUUUCAAUGACAAAAACCUCAAUUACUUUUGCACCAGCGUAAUAC
rnacentral:miRNA from 1 species